rnacentral:tRNA from 1 species
CAUCGCGGGGUGGAGCAGUUCGGUAGCUCGUCGGGCUCAUAACCCGAAGGUCGCAGGUUCAAAUCCUGCCCCCGCAA